AAUUCCAUGCCCAAUUUGGAAUUUAAAUCUAUUUAUUUUUUUAAAUUGAUUUGGGGUUACUGAAAUCAGCUAUCGAAAGUCUACCACUGAGAAAACUCAAGAUUCCAGUAUUCAAGUUUUGGGUUCUCUUCAGACUUCACAAUUGUGAACUGGGCAGCCAGUGCAACUGGUUACAGAGCUUCCUAUCUGGAGCUUGCCCUUAUCCAGUUUGCCAAUGACAUAAGCUCUGAAGCUCAUGUUGAGGUCAUGAGAAAAGUUAGGGUAAGCAUGUACGAGUAUCAGCUGGAAAGCAUGUUUGUUCACCACGUGAGGCGAAUAAUUGUUCAGUUGUACAUGGAUUUGCUUUUGUUGGACUGUGCUGCUUUAAAGUUCUGGAUUGGUGCUAUCAGUGAAGAUGCCCCCCUGUGCUGCGUUGGGGACUUUCUUGAUUCAAAAACCAGCUGUGAUCUGUUGCAGGAAAGAUUCAGAAAAGAAAACACCUCUAAAUACCGAAGAUUAUGGCUUAACUUUAGCAUACUUGAAACCGGUAUGCUAUGCCAUCAGCUGCUUCUAAUUUUGUAAACAGUUAAUACUAUCUUAAAAUUGAAAUGCCAAUGAUUCGAAGCUCAUGACUGAAUUAUUAUACUUCUGUAAGAUUUAUUGAAUACUUUUUUUCAAACUGUCUCUCGCAGCGGAAUCACCGCCACCGGCAGCUAUGGUUGCGCAGUUCGUCAUCGUCCAGUAUUCCUCCGAAAUUCAACUCUCUCUCUUUUUUCUCUCCGACUCAGUGCGUCUCUAUUCUUCCAGCAAUGGAGCUUGCAUAAUCACUUGAGAAAUUGGCAAAUGAAAGCUGCUUCACUUGCAGUGUAAAACAUUCAUUGUUAUUGUAUGAUGUCUUCUUAAUAUAAGAUGAUUAGGUGUAGGUGAUUAUAUUUUGUACCAGUAACGUGGGUUGGUUGGUGUUGUGAAUUAACAAUUAUGUGAUUGUGAGACAAUUGUACGAAGAUAAAGUAUUGGAUUGGUGUUUGGUGUGGGUGCAAGUUGUGCCGGAUUAGUGCUUUGGAGCAUCAUUUUUGAAAAAACAUAUGGUCAAGUCAGA